GCAGACAAUACAUGCCUGCAGGUCCUCUGAUGGACGUCACAGUCACUGCUGGGAAGUUAAAUGAAGUUCACCUGCCACACUGGAUCUGCAUCGAUGACAUCCCUGACAUAUUGGACACGUUUGCAGUCCUUCACAUAGAUGACUGUGGAGAUGUUGUGGAAAAAGUGUCUGAGCUGUUACACGUUGAUGUACUAUAAACCCAACACAUCAUUUCUUAAACUCCACGUCUAUCCAAUCCGACAGGAUCCUGCUCUGGAACAGGGAAUAGACAAGGAAGAAUCCUCAGAUGGAUACAAAAGAAUCAAGAAACCACAC